rnacentral:rRNA from 1 species
AUUGAACGCUGGCGGCAGGCCUAACACAUGCAAGUCGAGCGGAUGAAGGGAGCUUGCUCCUGGAUUCAGCGGCGGACGGGUGAGUAAUGCCUAGGAAUCUGCCUGGUAGUGGGGGAUAACGUCCGGAAACGGGCGCUAAUACCGCAUACGUCCUGAGGGAGAAAGUGGGGGAUCUUCGGACCUCACGCUAUCAGAUGAGCCUAGGUCGGAUUAGCUAGUUGGUGGGGUAAAGGCCUACCAAGGCGACGAUCCGUAACUGGUCUGAGAGGAUGAUCAGUCACGCUGGAACUUAGACACGGUCCAGACUCCUACGGGAGGCAGCAGUGGGGAAUAUUGGACAAUGGGCGAAAGCCUGAUCCAGCCAUGCCGCGUGUGUGAAGAAGGUCUUCGGAUUGUAAAGCGCUUUAAGUUGGGAGGAAGGGCAGUAAGUUAAUACCUUGCUGUUUUGACGUUACCAACAGAAUAAGCACCGGCUAACUUCGUG